CAGAGAUAAGAUUAGAGAACUAGAAACCACUGCCCGUCACCCAGUUGCUGUGCCCCACUCUUGGCUUACCUGCCACAACCCCCUUCUUUAGAAAUGACUGAAGAAGCUCUCUCUGGUGGACUUUGUACACCCCACCCUCCCAGUCUGGAAAACCAGCUCAGCAAAACCCAACUGUGUCCUGGGCAAAAUCUCAGCAACUCCUGGCCAGGAGUCUGGAGCUCUCAGGGGUGUUCUCCCUUCCCCUCUCUCAAUGGGAGCAGAUGCUCUUGGGGACGUCCAUAUCCAGCCUGGGUUCAAGUAUCCUGUGGGGUGAAGAGCCCGGAGUUGCUGCAAGAUUACCUUCAUCCCCACAACCGGUCAGCUAAAUCCUCCUGCCUCUCUGCCGCUGAGGGCCCCUCAUCCCUAACUCCGUGACCCCAAGGAACGAGCGCCUAACUCUGGAGAAGAGAAGCUCCAUGAGGACUGAAACUACCUCUACUUUGUUCAUCAGUGUCCCUCCUGACUGUCCCCUUGACCAGCAGUAAGCCUGGAGCAUGGUUUGGACUUAAACAAAGAGUAAACUUGAGCACCUUGUGCCAGCGCCAUCAGACCUAGCUUGAACUGGGAUACCAUGAUUACUUACUGGGGCUCCAUUCUGGACAGAAGGCACCUCCCAUGAAUUUAAGGCAGGUCAGUCCUGGAUUAGCAGUGACCUCAGUCAGGUGGGACUAAGUUGGUGAUCCUGGAUGGGGAGGAUGUUCAGAAGGAGGAAGAGGAUGCAUGGUGGGAAACUGCAAUGUGGCUGGCCCAUCUGCUGGAAGUCAUCUCCCAAGGAACAUGUCCUGUGUCAAAUCCUGGUCCAGAGUCCCUAGUGUCAUGAGCCCACUGGUGCCUAGAAUUCCACCAUUCAACUGGCAAACUUCACCAGUGCCUUUGAACUUAUAUCCUCCUCAAUCCAACUAUUCUUCCCUGGCUGUCAAUGAACUUUGACCUGACCCACAUGUCCUAAUGCUCUUCUGAUCUCACCCACCACCCACCUCCCCCCUCUCAAGGUUAGCUCUGGAACUCUAGGCAGAGAGAGGUCUCUACAGCCCAGAACCAUCUGAGUGUGCCUAGAGAGCUAAGGUCAGGACAGUGUGGGCCCUGGAGAGAAAGGAGAUCUUGCAUAAACACUGCUGGACAGACGAGGGGACUGGGGUGAGAAGGGGAAGGGACUCAAUAGGGUCACUCAGUGGACACAGGGCUCCUGACUCUUAGUCCAUGGCUCCUUUGCUUUUUGCCUGAAGGAGUCCUCCCUGCGGAACAAGCCACAGCCUGGGGACCCCUCUUAGACCGGAGCCUGGCAGGAAGCAGGGUGGGCCCCUUUACCUGUGAACGUCCACGAGCCAGGGUCUGCACAGUUGCCACCGCUGAUCGUAGCUCCCAGCCUGUUAGAUAGCCUGUUGGGGAGGAGCAGGAGGGCUCUCUGGAGAGGGGGCCCUGGUUGAGCUUUCCAGGGCUAGGGAGCCACACCUUGUAGGGCCCUGUCCUCUGGGCGACAAGUGAGGGCUAUAUCCUGCACCAAAGAUGGUGGGCACUUCCAUCCUGGAGAAGAAUUUGGAACUCUUUGAAGCAGAAGAUCAUCAUCACCUGAACAGGUGACCAGCUAGUUCCAGGGAUGCAGACUGGCUGACACAGGCUUCCUCGGACCGUCGGGAAGUCCUGCACAGCACCACACCCAACUGUGUCCUCUGCAUCAAGUCCCACAGGCUUUGCACCAGGAGGAGGAACACAGAGACAGAGUCAGCUCCCUUCUUUCGCAAUUGGUGCCCCGUGUGAGGGGUUCCAGUCCCGACCACAACGUUUGGAAGCUGCACACAUUGUCUGUCACAAAACAGCCCAAUGGAACCCUGGAGCCCACCAUCCUGUUUCCCAGAGGACCAACAAUGCUGCAUUAUAACAACUGUACAAAGAAGAUACCUCCCGAAGCUGACUCCGGUGCGGGUGGAACAGCUUGAGAAGACGCCACGCUCCCUCAAAGAACCCCCACGAUAUCCCUAUGAAUGAGCUUUAUGUCAUUACACCAAAUUGUAAUCAUAAUAAAAAGGGGGGAGAUGUGGAGACACGCAAGUUUCCCUGGCUUGAUAGGUUAUACAGGGAGGCCACCUCCUAAGCAUUGUGUGCCUGAAGGCAGGCACCAGGCUGGGAGAAGGCCAAAGCUUCAUGUGCCUGAAGGCAGGCAAUUUAGAUAAGGGUAAAGUCACUGGGCUCCUUCCAUGCUCCUGUCUCCUGCUCCUGUCUCCUGUCAGGCCCCGAAGAAAUUAUCCCUUGAGAUCAAAGACAUGCAAUCAUGACCUUAUGGCUUCAGAAAAAAUGCACCCUCCCUGAAAAACCUGAAAACAGUCAUGUAGGAAACUACCUUGUAUGCUAUAAAAACCUGUAGG